rnacentral:lncRNA from 10 species
GCGGAGCCCGGUGCACGGAGUGGGAGUAGGGCUGCGGCGGGCGCAGCCAAGCGGCUCCGCUGCGCCGGUUAAAACAUUCUCCCAGGGGGCAUCUCUCUGUCCUUGGCCAGAUGGUCUCGACACGUGCGGGCACCUCUAACCCAGGCUCUCGCUCUGUUGACCAGGCUGGAGUGCAGUGGCGCUACCACAGCUCACUGCAGCCUUGACCUCCCAGGCUCAAGCAAUCCUCCACCUCAGCCUUGCAAGCAGAUGGGACUAUAGGACAGUGGCAUACUAUCACAUCUAUCAAAGAAAAUGUGAAAAGUGCCUGAAAUGUGCUACUGAUCAACCAAUAGCAGUGAAAACUCACAUAUGGUACACAUUCCAUUUGGAUCACAAAAGCAAAGCCAAACAUCUCGGUAAGUGGGAGGAAGUAACUGAUGAACUGACUAAAGGAAAAACAGAGGUUGCAAUGGAGGUGAAAUAGUGGCUUGUAUUUGAGGAGACUGAAAUUUAGGCCUACUUUUAGGUUGCUGCUCUUCAAAUUCCUGACUGAAUCCUUCAGGAAGUGCAUCUUAAAAUAAAAGAAACUAUGCUGAAAAUAAACAGGCAUAUGAUACAUAAAACACAC